rnacentral:rRNA from 1 species
AUUGAACGCUGGCGGCAGGCCUAACACAUGCAAGUCGAGCGGAGGAAGGGAGCUUGCUCCUGGAUUCAGCGGCGGACGGGUGAGUAAUGCCUAGGAAUCUGCCUGGCAGUGGGGGAUAACGUCCGGAAACGGGCGCUAAUACCGCAUACGUCCUGAGGGAGAAAGUGGGGGAUCUUCGGACCUCACGCUAUCAGAUGAGCCUAGGUCGGAUUAGCUAGUUGGUGGGGUAAAGGCCUACCAAGGCGACGAUCCGUAACUGGUCUGAGAGGAUGAUCAGUCACACUGGAACUGAGAAACGGUCCAGACUCCUACGGGAGGCAGCAGUGGGGAAUAUUGGACGAUGGGAGAAAGCCUGAUCCAGCCAUGCCGAGUGUGUGAAGAAGGUCUUCGGAUUGUAAAGCGCUUUAAGUUGGGAGGAAGGGCAGUAAGUUAAUACCUUGCUGUUUUGACGUUACCAACAGAAUAAGCACCGGCUAACUUCGUG